AUUGAACGCUGGCGGCAGGCCUAACACAUGCAAGUCGAGCGAGCGGCGGACGGGUGAGUAAUGUAUGGGGACUGCCCGAUAGAGGGGGAUAACUACUGGAAACGGUAGCUAAUUCCGCAUACUAUCGGAUAACCCAUAUGGGAUGAGCUAGUAGGUGAGGUAAGGGCUCACCUAGGCGCCGAUCCCUAGCUGGUCUGAGAGGAGGAUCAGCCACACGGGGACUGAGACACGGCCCAGACGCCUACGGAGGCGGCAGUGGGGAAUAGUGCACAAUGGGCGAAGGCCGAAUGCAGCCAUGCCGCGUGUAUGAAGAGGGCCCUGGGGUGGUAAAGUACUUUCAGUCGGGAGGCGUUACCGACAGAAGAAGCACCGGCUAACUCCGUGCCAGCAGCCGCGGUAAUAC
rnacentral:rRNA from 1 species